CCUCCCCUUCCAGUUCAUUCCUGGAUUUGGUCUGAGGUAUUUUGUCUGAAGAGUGGCCGUCGAGGAAUUUGAAUACCUAAUAAAAACGUUUUCUUCAAUUAAUUGACAUUUCAUUACUAGUUUUGCCUCCAGUUUGUUCGUCGGAAUAGCUUUAUUUUAGCUGCCACAACCCCGCCCAAACAUUGUCAGUAGAAUGGCCUGUACUGAAGAACUCAGUGACUUUCAACGUGGCACCGUCAUAGGAUGCCACCUUUCCAACAAGUCAGUAAGUCAAAUUUCUGCUCAGCUAGAACUGCCCAGGUCAACUGUGAGUGCUGUUAUAGUGGAGUGGAAACGUCUGGGAGCAACAACUGCUGAGCCUCGAAGUGGUAAGCCACACAAGCUCACAGAACGGGACCGGCAAGUGCUGUAGCGUGAAGAUAUUGUCUGUCCUCUGUUGCAACACACUACAGAGUUCCAAACUGCAUCUGAAAGCAACGUCAGCACGAAUGUUUGUUGGGAGCUUAAUGAAAUGGGUUUCCAUGGCCAAACAGCCGCACACAGGCCUAAGAUCACCAUGCACAAUGCCAAGCGUCUGCUGGAGUGGUGUAAGCCAGAUAGACGGGGACUUUGAGGACUACAAACAGGUUCUGGAAACACUGGGGGAGACCCUGGUCCACUAGGUCAAAGAGUGUCCUACCUACUGCAGAACCGGGGCUCUAUUGGCACUAUUCCCUGUACUGCACCAUUUUUCACCAGAGCAUUAUGGGCCCUGGUCAAAUGUACUGCACUAUGUAGGGAAUAGGGUACCAUUUUGAACAGACCCAGGAGGAAAUAGAAAUGUAAUGCAAAAUAACCUACCACUGAAGCUGGCUGUCAUUAGCUCAGGGCAUCUCGAUAGUCUAACGUGGCUUUGUUUCCUUGUCUCACCUGAUCGUUCACCACUUAUUUAAAUAAGCAUCAUGGCUUAAGUCUCUCCCAAAUCAGUUUAUUUGAAAAAAGGUGUGGUGAGGAAGCCACGUUAAGAGUAUUGAGAAUACACCCCUGGUGUACUGCAGUAUCCUCUCAGCCUAUGAGAUGCAUACAUUUUCUUGAGUCCAAUUUGCCACCUUGCCCCCCUCCACACAACUGUAUAUCUGAAAAGAUAGGGUGUGAUUUGGAAUUCAGAAUUUGACUGGACAAGUGGGCAUGUCUCACCCAGGUGACAAUGGGACAGAAAUAGCAACAUGCUGAAGUAUUUCUAUUAUAGAGGAAAUGGCAAUACAUUACCAGUGGAUCCACACAUGUAGAAACCAAGCUCUUAUUACCUGGGAAUAAACAUGUUGACACCUGUAUGAUUAAGUAUUUACUACAGACAAAGGCAAUUAAAUAAAUGGAUUUUACAAUGUC